UACGGAGGGGGCUAGCGUUGUUCGGAAUUACUGGGCGUAAAGCGCACGUAGGCGGACUGGAAAGUCAGAGGUGAAAUCCCAGGGCUCAACCUUGGAACUGCCUUUGAAACUAUCAGUCUGGAGUUCGAGAGAGGUGAGUGGAAUUCCGAGUGUAGAGGUGAAAUUCGUAGAUAUUCGGAGGAACACCAGUGGCGAAGGCGGCUCACUGGCUCGAUACUGACGCUGAGGUGCGAAAGCGUGGGGAGCAAACAGG
rnacentral:rRNA from 3 species